UACGGAGGAUGCGAGUGUUAUCCGGAAUCACUGGCGUAAAGCGCACGGAGGCGGCUUAUUAAGUCAGGGGUGAAAUCCUGGAGGCUUAACUACCAGAACUGCCCUUUGAUACUGAUGAGCUUGAGUCCGGGAGAGGUGAGUGGAACUGCGAGUGUAGAGGUGAAAUUCGUAGAUAUUCGCAAGAACACCAGUGGCGAAGGCGGCUCACUGGCCCGGUACUGACGCUGAGGUGCGAAAGCGUGGGGAGCAAACAGG
rnacentral:rRNA from 1 species